rnacentral:rRNA from 1 species
UGUGGGAUAUUGCACAAUGGGCGAAAGCCUGAUGCAGCGACGCCGCGUGGGGGAUGAAGGCCUUCGGGUUGUAAACUUCUUUUGCUCUGAACAAGGCGCACCAUGGGGUGUGUUGAGUGUAGGGGUUGAUUAGCGCCGGCUAACUACGUGCCAGCAGCCGCGGUAAUACGUAGGGCGCGAGCGUUGUCCGGAAUUAUUGGGCGUAAAGGGCUUGUAGGUGGCUGGUUGCGUCUGUCGUGAAAGCUCAUGGCUUAACUGUGGGUUUGCGGUGGGUACGGGCUGGCUUGAGUGCAGUAGGGGAGGCUGGAAUUCCUGGUGUAGCGGUGGAAUGCGCAGAUAUCAGGAGGAAUACCGGUGGCGAAGGCGGGUCUCUGGGCUGUUACUGACACUGAGGAGCGAAAGCAUGGGGAGCGAACAGG